rnacentral:lncRNA from 1 species
GGCCAGUUCUCCAGCGCCCUCUGUGGCGGCUGAGAGCAGGCCCUCUAAGGAAGAGAGCUCCGGGCAUAGAGAGCUCAGGCCUGCAGCAGAGGGAGUGCAGAUGUGGGGGAAGCUGACCCUGGAGUUAACAGGCUCAGACCUUAAAGGGGGUAGUCUCACAGCAGGUUCACACCCAGCACUUCAGAGUUUCAGCAAGUAAGGCAACUGCAAGACCCUCAUUCUGCCGGGAAGCUUCUGAUUAGGGCCCUAAACCACCAUCCUUUUCACAUCUGCAAGGACACUAGAGGCAACACCCAGGGUCACUCUGAGAGGGCCUGAACCUGCUUUAUUAACAGGAUCGAGGGUCAGAUACAACAAAGAGAGGACAAUACUGGCACUAGACUGAAAAGAUUCAUGGAACACAGUGGAAAGUCCAGAAAGAGAGCCACGUGACCGAAGUAAGUCGUGAUGCAGGAAAUGAGUGCGUUUCACAGCUUGCUGAGCCCCUACUCGACCCAGGAAGCCCAGCUGGCCCCUCCUCUCAACAGGAGUGAGAAUCAGCUCAAAUUUUGCAGUUUCUGCUGUCAUCACAGCUGGGAAUGAGAAAGGGAAGGGGCUCCAGUUGGUCUCCCUCUGCCUCUGGAGCACACGUGGAGGACAUGAGGCUUCCGCAGGAACAGCUCUGAAAGCUGAGUUCUCGGGUCCCUGUGAAGGAGGGAAGCUUGCCUGCCUUGGAGCGUGAAAAAGUCUUGCUGGACAGAAGUCUCACGGUUUAAAACUGGGAAGGGAGAGGAUUGAGAUCACACUAGAAUGCACAGAAAAUUCUUAAAACAAAAAAAUGAGAGAAACUUCAUCAGAAUGUGAAAAGAACUAUAAAGCUACAGUGCUGAAGAGAGGGCAAUACUGGCACUAGAAUGAGAAGAUUCAUGGAACACAGUGGAAAAUGCAGUAAGAGAGCUGCAUGUAUGUAAUAUUUUAUCAUGUGAUAAAGUGAUAUAUUAAUAUUCACAAGGAAAUAGUCAAUUAUU